rnacentral:rRNA from 1 species
CCUACGGGUGGCUGCAGUGGGGAAUAUUGGACAAUGGGCGAAAGCCUGAUCCAGCCAUGCCGCGUGUGUGAAGAAGGCCUUCGGGUUGUAAAGCACUUUCAGUGGGGAAGAAAGCCUUGGGGCUAAUACCCUCGAGGAAGGACAUCACCCACAGAAGAAGCACCGGCUAACUCCGUGCCAGCAGCCGCGGUAAUACGGAGGGUGCGAGCGUUAAUCGGAAUUACUGGGCGUAAAGCGCGCGUAGGCGGUCUGAUAAGCCGGUUGUGAAAGCCCCGGGCUCAACCUGGGAACGGCAUCCGGAACUGUCAGGCUAGAGUGCAGGAGAGGAAGGUAGAAUUCCCGGUGUAGCGGUGAAAUGCGUAGAGAUCGAGAGGAAUACCAGUGGCGAAGGCGGCCUUCUGGACUGACACUGACGCUGAGGUGCGAAAGCGUGGGUAGCAAACAGGAUUAGAUACCCUUGUAGUC